UCGGUUUCUUGGAACCCUCCGCUCCUUUCUUCUCGAUUCAAUCCGCACACGUUGUUCUUUAAUCCUUCCACCGAUUUCUGUACUGGUAGGCGAUCGAUCGAUUCCGCGCACUUUUUGAAUGUCGAUUAGAGCGGGUAAACCCUGGAGGAUGGUUUCUUGGGUUCUGAUAUGGAGCAGAGGACCGGGGGGAGACCGGAGUUACCUUCGAUGAAUUCCCUUAUUGCCUUAGGAUCAUACCAGGUGGACCCAUUUGAUCCUUUAAUAGAGGAAUCUCAACUGCAAACUGCCAAUCAGAACAUGAUAUUGUCCAUACUGUAUGGCAGAACUGUAAAGUACAACUUCUUUGUGAACUGAACCAAAAAAUGAAGCUGCUAGCCUCAGCUCCUUUAUUAUCAUAUCUGGUAGUUCUUUUCUUCGGUCUCCCUCGUCUUCGGUUCCAAGAACCUCAGAAAUAGUUAUCAUAUCUAGCAGUUCUUCCAUGUGCCAACCCAGAAGCUACUUUAUAUGUUUGCCAUACUAGAAGGUAAUCUGAUUCUACUAGCAUGCUAAAUUUGUCUCUGUCAAGUUUUCGGAGUUACUAAUCUGAGUGAAUUGCCACAAGGAAAUGCGAAUCUAGAUGGUUGUAUUUUACUAUUAGAGUUUCUUGAUAGUUAACCUAAAUUUUUGGUGGCAGAGAAAAUAUGAAUUAGGAAGUCUUUGGAAAAACUGUUUUGUAGAUAAUUUUCAUGUGGCCUAUGCUGGUUAUUGGCCAUUACACAUAGCUUAUUUAAUUAACUGUCUCGGAUCAACUAUUCAUGCGGCUGAAUGAGUUAUUCUGAACCCAUUCCUCUGAGUGAUUAAUCUUGACGUGGAUUAUGAGGGUUAAAAUGACCUUCCAAUUUUGAGCCUAGGUUUGUUUACUCUAUCUCUACACAAUUCUUUGCAAAAGAUAAAUUUAUUUAUUCCUAAGAAGAUGUGUAUUCCCAUUCACUGAUUUCCUGUAUUCAAUAGAAUUAUGGUUGGGCUACCAUCUCAGGAGAGCAGGGGAUCAAUAUUAAUGAAGCUUUUGUCAAAAGAAAAGGUUGAAGGACUUUACUACAAGGAGCUUGCAGCAAUCACAGACGGAUAUACUGGUAGUGAUCUUAAGAAUCUCUGCAUUACAGCAGCAUAUCGUCCUGUUAAGGAGCUGAUUCAGAAAGAGAGAAAGAACAAAGGAAUUGAUAUUCAUGCGAAGCAUGCUUGCCUGGAUUUGUGCGUG